CUGAAAUCUUGUUAAGAACACCCAAACUCUUUUGCCGUUUCUUAAUCUUGGCAAGUUCAUGGAGUAAACUGAGAAUUAUAUGAAACACAAUCAAUCCAUACAACUCCAUAAGACAUAACAAUUAAGCAACUCCCCAGAGACAUGCAACAUUUUUGGAACAAAACGUAACAAAAUAGUAGCGUUGAUACGGUGAUGUGUAUUUGCAAAAAGCAACAUUAUUUCCUUCAAUAAAGAAUAUUCAUCCUGCUCUAACCGAGAAAUAAUCUACUCAGUCUGUUUGAACCCAUUAAAAACAUAAAAAAAUUAGGCUAUUUAAGAAUACGAAAAAUUUAAGCGCCUGCCUUCCAUGGUCAGUCUUUCAUGUACAUUUAAG